rnacentral:rRNA from 1 species
UGGGAAUAUUGGACAAUGGGGGGAACCCUGAUCCAGCAAUGCCGCGUGUGAAGAAGGCCUUCGGGUUGUAAAGCACUUUAGGUGGGGAAGAAGGUAAGUAUUUUAAGAGAUAGCUUAUUUGACGGUACUCACAGAAUAAGCACCGGCUAACUCUGUGCCAGCAGCCGCGGUAAUACAGAGGGUGCAAGCGUUAAUCGGAUUUACUGGGCGUAAAGGGCGCGUAGGUGGUUGAAUAAGUGAGAUGUGAAAUCCCCGGGCUUAACCUGGGAACUGCCUCUUAAACUGUUUGACUAGAGUGCAAUAGAGGGUAGUGGAAUUUCCGGUGUAGCGGUGAAAUGCGUAGAUAUCGGAAGGAACACCAGUGGCGAAGGCGGCUACCUGGAUUGACACUGACACUGAGGCGCGAGAGCGUGGGGAGCAAACAGG